AGUAAAGAGGUGUUUGGCAUGGAAGAUUUUGGAUUUUCAGGAGGCUUUUCUAAAAGCUCUUUACUA
rnacentral:tRNA from 1 species